rnacentral:rRNA from 1 species
CCUACGGGUGGCUGCAGUGGGGAAUCUUGCGCAAUGGGCGAAAGCCUGACGCCGCGACGCCGCGUGAGGGAUGAAGGUCUUCGGAUCGUAAACCCCUGUCAGCAGGGAAGAACGGUCACUGUGCUAAUCAGCAGUGAAUUGACGGUACCUGUAAAGGAAGCACCGGCUAAAUCCGUGCCAGCAGCCGCGGUAAUACGGAGGGUGCGAGCGUUAAUCGGAAGUACUGGGCGUAAGGCGCUCGUAGGCGGUAUGGCAAGUCACGGGUGAAAUCCCCGCGCUCAACGUGGGAACUGCCUUUGAAACUGGCAGGCUGGAGUGUAUGAGAGGAUGGUGGAAUUCCGGGUGUAGGAGUGAAAUGCGUAGAUAUCUGGAGGAACAUCGGUGGCGAAGGCGGCUAUCUGGCACAUAACUGACGCUGAGGAGCGAAAGCGUGGGUAGCAAACAGGAUUAGAUACCCUUGUAGUC